CCUACGGGGGGCAGCAGUGGGGAAUAUUGCACAAUGGGGGAAACCCUGAUGCAGCGACGCCGCGUGAGUGAAGAAGUAUUUCGGUAUGUAAAGCUCUAUCAGCAGGGAAGAAAUAAAGUCCUUCGGACUUUGGACGGUACCUGACUAAGAAGCCCCGGCUAACUACGUGCCAGCAGCCGCGGUAAUACGUAGGGGGCAAGCGUUAUCCGGAUUUAUUGGGUUUAAAGGGUGCGUAGGCGGAUCGUUAAGUCAGUGGUCAAAUUGAGGGGCUCAACCCCUUCCCGCCAUUGAAACUGGCGUUCUUGAGUGGAAGAGAAGUAUGCGGAAUGCGUGGUGUAGCGGUGAAAUGCUUAGAGAUCAUACAGAACACCGAUUGCGAAGGCAGCUUACCAAGCUACUUCUGACGUUGAGGCACGAAAGCGUGGGGAGCAAACAGGAUUAGAUACCCGGGUAGUC
rnacentral:rRNA from 1 species